CAACUACUCCCUCCGUUUGGAAUUACUUGUCACAAAAAUGGAUGUAUCUACAACUAAAAUACAUCUAGAUACAUUCAUUUCUUGGACGAGUAAUUCCGAACGGAGGGAGUAACAU
rnacentral:pre_miRNA from 1 species